CAGGUUGGUCUCAACAUGCACCUUGGUUUUCUCGUCCUCACGGCCUGCCUCGGGCAACUGCUGGGCACCAUGGGACAGAUCGCCGUCACUCAGGAAGAAGGACAAGUCACAGUGAAACAGAGAGACACCUUCCAAACAACUUGCACCUAUCAGACCCCAAGGUUUUACAUCUUGUUCUGGUACCAGCAGAGGAAAGGUCAAGGUCCCCAGCUAGUUUCAUAUCACACAGCAGCUGGUCGCAAGCAGAGUGGCCGUUUCACCACCUUGCUGAACACCGCAGGGAAAUACAGCCACCUGCAGCUGGAGGAAGUCGAGGUCUCUGACAGUGCCGUGUACCUCUGUGCUGUGCAAGACACGCUGGUGCAGGGAGCUUCCUCGGCCGUGCAACAACCCAGGGGAGGAAGGGGACGUGGGAACUAA